rnacentral:rRNA from 1 species
UUGAAGACUACAACGUUGAUAGGCGAGAUGUGGAAGUGCUGUGAGGCAUUAAGCUAACUCGUACUAAUUACCCGUGAGGCUUAACCAUACAACGCCAAAGUGGUUU